rnacentral:rRNA from 1 species
UACGAAGGGGGCUAGCGUUGCUCGGAAUCACUGGGCGUAAAGCGCACGUAGGCGGAUUGCUAAGCCAGGGGUGAAAUCCUGGAGCUCAACUCCAGAACUGCCCUUGAUACUGGCGGUCUCGAGUCCGGGAGAGGUGAGUGGAACUGCGAGUGUAGAGGUGAAAUUCGUAGAUAUUCGCAAGAACACCAGUGGCGAAGGCGGCUCACUGGCCCGGUACUGACGCUGAGACGCGAAAGCGUGGGGAGCAAACAGG